rnacentral:rRNA from 1 species
UACGUAGGGUGCGAGCGUUGUCCGGAAUUAUUGGGCGUAAAGAGCUUGUAGGUGGUUUGUCGCGUCUGCUGUGAAAACCCAGGGCUUAACCCUGGGCCUGCAGUGGGUACGGGCAAACUAGAGUGCGGUAGGGGAGAUCGGAAUUCCUGGUGUAGCGGUGAAAUGCGCAGAUAUCAGGAGGAACACCGGUGGCGAAGGCGGAUCUCUGGGCCGUAACUGACGCUGAGGAGCGAAAGCAUGGGUAGCGAACAGG